GAAAUGCGAUAAUUAAUGUGAAUUGCAGAAUUCAGUGAAUCAUCGAGUCUUUGAACGCACAUUGCGCCCCCUGGUAUUCCGGGGGGCAUGCCUGUCCGAGCGUCAUUGCUGCCCUCAAGCACGACUUGUGUGUUGGGCUUCCGUCCCUGGCAACGGGGACGGGCCCAAAAGGCAGUGGCGGCACCAUGUCUGGUCCUCGAGCGUAUGGGGCUUUGUCACCCGCUCCCGUAGGUCCAGCUGGCAGCUAGCCUCGCAACCAAUCUUUUUAACCAGGUUGACCUCGGAUCAGGUAGAGAUACGCGCUGAACUUAAGC
rnacentral:misc_RNA from 1 species